CCUACGGGAGGCUGCAGUGAGGAAUAUUGGUCAAUGGACGAGAGUCUGAACCAGCCAAGUAGCGUGAAGGAUGACUGCCCUAUGGGUUGUAAACUUCUUUUAUAUGGGAAUAAAAUGUUCCACGUGUGGGAUUUUGUAUGUACCAUAUGAAUAAGGAUCGGCUAACUCCGUGCCAGCAGCCGCGGUAAUACGGAGGAGCCGAGCGUUAUCCGGAUUUAUUGGGGUUAAAGGGAGCGUAGGUGGAUUGUUAAGUCAGUUGUGAAAGUUUGCGGCUCAACCGGAAAAUUGCAGUUGAAACUGGCAGUCUUGAGUACAGUAGAGGUGGGCGGAAUUCGUGGUGUAGCGGUGAAAUGCUUAGAUAUCACGAAGAACUCCGAUUGCGAAGGCAGUUCACUGGACUGCAACUGACACUGAGGCUCGAAAGUGUGGGUAUCAAACAGGAUUAGAUACCCUAGUAGUC
rnacentral:rRNA from 1 species